GACGAACGCUGGCGGCGUGCCUAAUAUAUGCAAGUAGAACGCUGAAGGAGGAGCUUGCUUCUCUGGAUGAGUUGCGAACGGGUGAGUAACGCGUAGGUAACCUGCCUGGUAGCGGGGGAUAACUAUUGGAAACGAUAGCUAAUACCGCAUAACAGUAGAUAUCGCAUGAUAUCUACUUGAAAGGUGCAAUUGCAUCACUACCAGAUGGACCUGCGUUGUAUUAGCUAGUUGGUGAGGUAACGGCUCACCAAGGCGACGAUACAUAGCCGACCUGAGAGGGUGAUCGGCCACACUGGGACUGAGACACGGCCCAGACUCCUACGGGAGGCAGCAGUAGGGAAUCUUCGGCAAUGGACGGAAGUCUGACCGAGCAACGCCGCGUGAGUGAAGAAGGUUUUCGGAUCGUAAAGCUCUGUUGUAAGAGAAGAACGAGUGUGAGAGUGGAAAGUUCACACUGUGACGGUAUCUUACCAGAAAGGGACGGCUAACUACGUG
rnacentral:rRNA from 1 species